rnacentral:rRNA from 1 species
GAUGAACGCUAGCGGCAGGCCUAAUACAUGCAAGUCGAACGAUAGAAGAGAGCUUGCUCUCUUUGAAAGUGGCGCACGGGUGCGUAACGCGUAUGCAACCUACCUUAAUCAGGGGGAUAGCCCGAAGAAAUUCGGAUUAACACCACAUAAAAUCACAGUACAGCAUUGUACAAUGAUCAAAUAUUUAUAUGAUUAAGAUGGGCAUGCGUGACAUUAGCUAGUUGGCGGGGUAACGGCCCACCAAGGCGACGCUGUCUAGGGGAUCUGAGAGGAUGACCCCCCACACUGGUACUGAGACAAGGACCAGACUCCUACGGGAGGCAGCAGUAAGGAAUAUUGGUCAAUGGAGGGAACUCUGAACCAGCCAUGCCGCGUGCAGGAAGACAGCCCUCUGGGUCGUAAACUGCUUUUAUUCGGGAAUAAACCUACUUACGUGUAAGUAGCUGAAUGUACCGAAGGAAUAAGGAUCGGCUAACUCCGUGCCAGCAGCCGCGGUAA